GAAUGUGGGGACAAUCUGGCUGUGACAUCUGUCACCCUUUUGAUCACCAGGGUUGACCUGGCUGAUCUGACUGGCUAGGCCAUGUCCUCUCCCUCCCUCAUUGCUCCAUGUUUGAUUUGUCCUGAGCUCUAAUCCUCAGAAGCCACGGAAACAGCAGUCCCUCCCAAAGCUGCACUUGGGGUCAAAGAGGAAGACCCUCCCUGAAGAGAGAAAGACCCGUCUUCUUCCCGCCAAGGGUACCUGGGUGGCUGCGCUCCUCUGCCCGAACCUCCAAACGAGCUCCCAGUAAAUUGCUUGGCUGCGCUUUCUCCUGAGGUUUUGAUGCUAGGAAGAAGCUUUAUAGAUCGGAUGGUAAUGAGGGAAGGGGCAGGCGGAGCUUCCC
rnacentral:snRNA from 1 species